GAUCCUACGGGACGCAGCAGUGGGGAAUAUUGCACAAUGGGGGAAACCCUGAUGCAGCGACGCCGCGUGGGUGAAGAAGCGCCUCGGCGCGUAAAGCCCUGUCAGCAGGGAAGAAAAUGACGGUACCUGAAGAAGAAGCCCCGGCUAACUACGUGCCAGCAGCCGCGGUAAUACGUAGGGGGCAAGCGUUAUCCGGAUUUAUUGGGUUUAAAGGGUGCGUAGGCGGUCCGUUAAGUCAGCGGUAAAAUUGCGGGGCUCAACCCCGUCGAGCCGUUGAAACUGGCAGACUUGAGUUGGCGAGAAGU
rnacentral:rRNA from 1 species